rnacentral:rRNA from 1 species
CUGGUUGAUCCCGCCGGAGGCCACUGCUAUCGGAGUUCGAUUAAGCCAUGCGAGUCGAGAGGUGCAAGACCUCGGCAUACUGCUCAGUAACACGUGGACAAUCUACCCUAUGGAGGGGGAUAACCCCGGGAAACUGGGGAUAAUACCCCAUAGACUAUAGAUGCUGGAAUGCUUUGUAGUUAAAAGGUCAGCCGCCAUAGGAUGGGUCUGCGGCCGAUUAGGUUGUUGUUGGGGUAACGGCCCAACAAGCCUGUAAUCGGUACGGGUUGUGGGAGCAAGAGCCCGGAGAUGGAUUCUGAGACACGAAUCCAGGCCCUACGGGGCGCAGCAGGCGCGAAAACUUUACAAUGCGGGAAACCGUGAUAAGGGAACUCCGAGUGCCCGUAAAAUCGGGCUGUCCAUCUGUGUAAAUAAUAGGUGAAGAAAGGGCCGGGCAAGACCGGUGCCAGCCGCCGCGGUAAUACCGGCGGCUCGAGUGGUGGCCACUAUUACUGGGCUUAAAGCGUUCGUAGCUGGUCUGUUAAGUCUCUGGGGAAAUCUACUGGCUUAACCAAUAGGCGUCUCAGGGAUACUGGCAGACUAGGGACCGGGAGAGGUGAGAGGUACUCCAGGGGUAGGAGUGAAAUCCUGUAAUCCUUGGGGGACCACCUGUGGCGAAGGCGUCUCACCAGAACGGCUCCGACAGUGAGGGACGAAAGCUGGGGGAGCAAACCGGAUUAGAUACCCGGGUAGUCCCAGCCGUAAACGAUGCGCGUUAGGUGUAUCGGUGACCACGAGUCACCGAGGUGCCGAAGAGAAAUCGUGAAACGUGCCGCCUGGGAAGUACGGUCGCAAGGCUGAACUUAAAGGAAUGGCGGGGGA